rnacentral:rRNA from 1 species
UGGGGAAUAUUGGACAAUGGGGGAAACCCUGAUCCAGCCAUGCCGCGUGUGUGAAGAAGGCCUUUUGGUUGUAAAGCACUUUAAGCAGUGAAGAAGACCUAACGGUUAAUACCCGUUAGCGAUGACAUUAGCUGCAGAAUAAGCACCGGCUAACUCUGUGCCAGCAGCCGCGGUAAUACAGAGGGUGCAAGCGUUAAUCGGAAUUACUGGGCGUAAAGCGAGCGUAGGUGGCUUGAUAAGUCAGAUGUGAAAUCCCCGGGCUUAACCUGGGAACUGCAUCUGAUACUGUUAGGCUAGAAUAGGUGAGAGGAAGGUAGAAUUCCAGGUGUAGCGGUGAAAUGCGUAGAGAUCUGGAGGAAUACCGAUGGCGAAGGCAGCCUUCUGGCAUCAUAUUGACACUGAGGUUCGAAAGCGUGGGUAGCAAACAGG